UGGCAGGUAGCCUAGUGGUUAAGAGCAUUGUGCCAUUAACGCUAAGGUCAGUGGUUUGAAUCCACAACUGCCAA
rnacentral:tRNA from 1 species